GGCGGCCUCGGGUCCAUCCCGGGGCCACGCCCGUCUGAGGGUCGGUU
rnacentral:rRNA from 13 species